AAAACAUCGCCUCUUGACAAAACAUAAGAGGUCCAGCCUGCCCAGUGACAAAGUUCAACGGCCGCGGUACCCUAACCGUGCGAAGGUAGCAUAAUCACUUGUUCUUUAAAUGAGGACUCGUAUCAACGGCACUACGAGGGCUAUACUGUCUCCUUUUUCUAAUCAGUGAAACUGAUCUCCCCGUGAAGAAGCGGGGAUCAAAAUAUAAGACGAGAAGACCCCAUGGAGCUUUAAACUCACUAUACACCUCUGUGCCUUUAUGCCACUAGACACAAGAGAUCUGCGUACUAGUUUUAGGUUGGGGGGACCACGGAGUAUAAUUUAACCUCCAUAACAAAUGGGCUAACACCCUUAUCUACGAGACACAACUCUAAGAAUUACUAAACUAAUGCUUAUGACCCGAUAUUCGAUCAAUGAACCAAGUUACCCUGGGGAUAACAGCGCAAUCUACUUCAAGAGCCCAUAUCGACAAGUGGGUUUACGACCUCGAUGUUGGAUCAGGGUAUCCCGGUGGUGCAGCCGCUACCGACGGUUCGUUUGUUCAACGAUUAAAACCCUACGUGAUCU
rnacentral:rRNA from 1 species